AUGAGAUGGGACUGGGAGACGCCGGCGACGGAAGCGGAGGCGGAGGCGUUGCAGGAGCGCAUCUGGGACCUCCACGACAAGCUCAGCCACGCCAUCCUCGCCCUCUCCGCCUGCGCCGGCCUUCCGGCCUGCCGCUGCCGGGGCGCCCCCAACGGUCACGUAGUCGUCAAGGGGCAGCGGCCGCCGAAGGGGGGAGGGCACGUCGACCUUGCCGCGGCGGCGGCGGCCAUGGCGGACGCGCGGGGCCUGCACGCCAUCCGCGCCGCGCUCGAGGACCUCGAGGGCCACCUCCACUUCCUUCGUGAUGUUCAGUUACAACAGCGUGCCGAUCAAGAUGCCGCGAUUGCUAGGGUGCAGCAAAGUCGCAUUCUCCUUGCUGCAAGGUUGGCUGAACAUAGAGGAAAGGGGCAUGGUGUCAUUGAGGAAGCCUUGGGUUUCGUGGGUGAUGUGCGUGACAAGAGCCAAUUUGUCUCGCCGGAAGAUGUGUAUGGGACGCACAGCCAAUCAGGGGAAGAUGAGGAGGACCGCAGGGGGCAUGGUUCAAACAUGGUGGUGCGUGUGGUAUCCUGCAGUUUUGCUUUAGCCAAGAACAUUUUAAGAUUUGAGAGGAUGGGUAGCGUGCUGGGUAAUGCUACCGUGUUUGCAGUAAGUAUGCUCACAUUCUUGCAGCUUCAUCAAUUGGCCUCUGGUAAACAAACGCCAGCAGCCCAAUAUAGGAGAGCCGACAAUGGUUCUCUUUCUGGAGGGUCAAGAAAAGACAGUAAAGGAAAGCAUUUGGAAGUGUUAUUAGCUAGAGGUUGA
rnacentral:rRNA from 1 species